rnacentral:rRNA from 1 species
AUUGAACGCUGGCGGCAGGCCUAACACAUGCAAGUCGAACGAGUGGCGGACGGGUGAGUAAUGUAUGGGAAACUGCCUGAUGGAGGGGGAUAACUACUGGAAACGGUAGCUAAUACCGCAUACCGUCGGAGGUGCCCAGAGGGGAUUAGCUAGUAGGGGGGGUAAAGGCUAACCUGGGCGACGACCCCUAGCUGGUCUGAGAGGAUGACCGGCCACACUGGAACUGAGACACGGCCCAGACUCCUACGGGAGGCAGCAGUGGGGAAUAUUGCGCAAUGGGCGAAAGCCUGAUGCAGCCACGCCGCGUGUGUGAAGAAGGCCUUCGGGUUGUAAAGUACUUUCAGCGGGGAGGCGUUACCCGCAGAGAAAGCCACGGCUAACUCCGUGCCAGCAGCCGCGGUAAUUC